UACGAAGGGUGCAAGCGUUACUCGGAAUUACUGGGCGUAAAGCGUGCGCAGGCGGUUUGUUAAGUCCGCUGUGAAAUCCCCGAGCUCAACUUGGGAAUUGCAGUGGAUACUGGCAAGCUGGAGUAUGGUAGAGGAAGGUGGAAUUCCCGGUGUAGCAGUGAAAUGCGUAGAGAUCGGGAGGAACACCAGUGGCGAAGGCGGCCUUCUGGACCAAUACUGACGCUCAUGCACGAAAGCGUGGGGAGCAAACAGG
rnacentral:rRNA from 1 species